GGGAUCCAGUUAGCACGUGUGUUCCUGCCCCUAGUGACGAGAACACCCACCGGGACGUGGGACUACUCAGGAUAGGCGAAGAACUGUGGAAUGAGUCUUCACACAAAAGUCGCUUAGAUCAUGAUUCUAGACGUCUCUCAUGGAUGGGUAGGCGUCCGAUCGUAUUUAAGGUGAGGUAAUGGCUCAGCAUUCGUUCAUCCGGUGCGGGCCGUGUGAGCGGGAGCCCGGAGAUGGCCACUGAUCCAAGAAGGCAGGCCAUACUGGGCGCAGCAGUCGCGCAAACUUUGCAAUACACGAAAGUGUGACACGGCUAUCACGAGUGCCGUCCGCUGAGGAUGACUUUUACGCAGUCUCGAAAGAUGGGGGAAUAAGGAGAGGGCAAGUUUGGUGUCAAUAAUAGCGGUAAUCCCAGCUCUCCGAGUGGUGUGGAUGUUUAUUGGCCCUAAAGCAUCCGUAGCUGGCCAGGUUAGUCCCCUGUUAAAUCCACCCAAUUAACAGUUGGAUUGGGCGGGAUAGGUCUUGGCUAGGGGACGAGAGAGGCAGUCGGUAUUUUCGGCGUAGGGCUGAAAUCCUAUAAUCCCGGGAAGUCCCCCAGUGCAUAAGGGGGUUUGUUAUAACGCGCCCGGCGGUGAGGAAUGAAAGCUGGGGGAGCGAACCGGACUAGAUACCCGUGUACCGCCAACCCAAACGAUGCAGGCUAGGUGUUUGGGCGCCCAGCGUGCCCAGCUAGUGUAGCAGGUAAGCAUUAAGCCACCUCCUGGGGAGUACGGUCGCAAGAGGACAGGUAAAGSAAKUGGCGGGGGAGC
rnacentral:rRNA from 1 species